rnacentral:lncRNA from 1 species
GGGCCCACCAGUAAGGGCAAAACAUGGACCUCCUUUUCUCCCUCUCGGUCUCCCUCCUGCUGCCGCCUCCAGACGGCAGCGCCGCCACCGGAGCCGGCGGCCCUGCCUCCUCUCCCUUCCCCCUUCUUCCUAUCUCCCUUCUUCCCUCAUCUCUCGCCCCCUUCGACCUCUCUCCCUCUCUCUCGUUCUCCCUCUGUUUUCUCCUCACCACAGCUGCGCCCAGCCGCC